UACAGAGGUGGCAAGCGUUGUUCGGAAUUACUGGGCGUAAAGGGCGCGUAGGCGGUCAGGUCAGUCCCGUGUGAAAUCCCUCGGCUCAACUGAGGAACUGCACGGGAAACUGCCUGGCUUGAGUUCGGGAGAGGGAAGCGGAAUUCCGGGUGUAGCGGUGAAAUGCGCAGAUAUCAGGAAGAACACCUAUGGCGAAGGCAGCUCUCUGGGACGGUACUGACGCUGAGACGCGAAAGCGUGGGGAGCGAACAGG
rnacentral:rRNA from 1 species